rnacentral:rRNA from 1 species
UACGUAGGGGGCGAGCGUUGUCCGGAUUUAUUGGGCGUAAAGAGCUCGUAGGCGGUUUGGCAAGUCGGGUGUGAAAACUCCGGGCUCAACUCGGAGACGCCACUCGAUACUGCUAUGACUCGAGUCCGGUAGGGGAGUGCGGAAUUCCUGGUGUAGCGGUGAAAUGCGCAGAUAUCAGGAGGAACACCGGUGGCGAAGGCGGCACUCUGGGCCGGAACUGACGCUGAGGAGCGAAAGCGUGGGGAGCAAACAGG